CAUUUUACCAUGUUUAGAUGUUGACAUUACACCACUACUGAAAAGAUGAGAAGAUUACUGCAUGAUUUCCUUCGCUCAGCAGAAUUUCAAAGGAGCUUUAGACAUCUAAAGAAAGUAGAGACCUGAAGGAGUUUGAGCUGAUCUGUAGGACCACCUGCUGCUGCAGAAUCUACAGUGUGCAAUCAGAAGGAUACGGGUGAAACAGUUAUGAACAUGCAUGAAAAAAGAAAAUUUGUUGCCUGAGAAAUUUCACAAUGAAAACCUGAGUCUUCCAUGGAAGUCAGUCUCCCACAGCAACAGCUGUACAUUUUUUCAGGAUCACAGACUUGA